AGGUAACGGAGGCGCUCAAAGGUUCCCUCAGAAUGGUUGGAAAUCAUUCAUAGAGUGUAAAGGCAUAAGGGAGCUUGACUGCGAGACCUACAAGUCGAGCAGGGUCGAAAGACGGACUUAGUGAUCCGGUGGUUCCGCAUGGAAGGGCCAUCGCUCAACGGAUAAAAGCUACCCCGGGGAUAACAGGCUUAUCUCCCCCAAGAGUUCACAUCGACGGGGAGGUUUGGCACCUCGAUGUCGGCUCAUCGCAUCCUGGGGCUGUAGUCGGUCCCAAGGGUUGGGCUGUUCGCCCAUUAAAGCGGUACGCGAGCUGGGUUCAGAACGUCGUGAGACAGUUCGGUCCCUAUCCGUCGUGGGCGUAGGAAAUUUGAGAGGAGCUGUCCUUAGUACGAGAGGACCGGGAUGGACAUACC
rnacentral:rRNA from 1 species